AUGUCUGUGAAGAUGCGGACUACCUGCACCUGGACAGAAAGACCCUAUGAAGCUUUACUGUUCCCUGGGAUUGGCUUUGGGCCUUUCCUGCACAGCUUAGGUGGAAGGCGAAGAAGGCCCCCUUUCGGGGGGGCCAAGCCAUCAGUGAGAUACCACUCUGGAAGAGCUCGGAUUCUAACCUUGUGUCAGACCCGCGGGCCAAGGGACAGUCUCAGGUAG
rnacentral:rRNA from 1 species